UACGAAGGGGGCUAGCGUUGCUCGGAAUCACUGGGCGUAAAGGGUGCGUAGGCGGGUCUUUAAGUCAGAGGUGAAAUCCUGGAGCUCAACUCCAGAACUGCCUUUGAUACUGAGGAUCUUGAGUAUGGGAGAGGUGAGUGGAACUGCGAGUGUAGAGGUGAAAUUCGUAGAUAUUCGCAAGAACACCAGUGGCGAAGGCGGCUCACUGGCCCGAUACUGACGCUGAGGUGCGAAAGCGUGGGGAGCAAACAGG
rnacentral:rRNA from 1 species